rnacentral:rRNA from 1 species
AGAGUUUGAUCCUGGCUCAGGAUGAACGCUGGCGGCGUGCUUAACACAUGCAAGUCGAACGAAGCACUUUAUUACGAUUUCUUCGGAAUGACGAUUUAGUGACUGAGUGGCGGACGGGUGAGUAACGCGUGGGUAACCUGCCUUAUACAGGGGGAUAACAGUUAGAAAUGACUGCUAAUACCGCAUAAGCGCACAGGAUUGCAUGAUCUGGUGUGAAAAACUCCGGUGGUAUAAGAUGGACCCGCGUCUGAUUAGCUGGUUGGUGAGGUAACGGCCCACCAAGGCGACGAUCAGUAGCCGACCUGAGAGGGUGACCGGCCACAUUGGGACUGAGACACGGCCCAAACUCCUACGGGAGGCAGCAGUGGGGAAUAUUGCACAAUGGGGGAAACCCUGAUGCAGCGACGCCGCGUGAGCGAAGAAGUAUUUCGGUAUGUAAAGCUCUAUCAGCAGGGAAGAAAAUGACGGUACCUGACUAAGAAGCCCCGGCUAACUACGUGCCAGCAGCCGCGGUAAUACGUAGGGGGCAAGCGUUAUCCGGAUUUACUGGGUGUAAAGGGAGCGUAGACGGCGGAGCAAGUCUGAAGUGAAAGCCCGGGGCUCAACCCCGGGACUGCUUUGGAAACUGUUCUGCUAGAGUGCUGGAGAGGUAAGUGGAAUUCCUAGUGUAGCGGUGAAAUGCGUAGAUAUUAGGAGGAACACCAGUGGCGAAGGCGGCUUACUGGACGGUAACUGACGUUGAGGCUCGAAAGCGUGGGGAGCAAACAGGAUUAGAUACCCUGGUAGUCCACGCCGUAAACG